rnacentral:rRNA from 1 species
GAGUUUGAUCGUGGCUCAGGAUGAACGCUGGCGGCGUGCCUAAUACAUGCAAGUCGAGCGAACAGACGAGGAGCUUGCUCCUCUGACGUUAGCGGCGGACGGGUGAGUAACACGUGGAUAACCUACCUAUAAGACUGGGAUAACUUCGGGAAACCGGAGCUAAUACCGGAUAAUAUAUUGAACCGCAUGGUUCAAUAGUGAAAGACGGUUUUGCUGUCACUUAUAGAUGGAUCCGCGCCGCAUUAGCUAGUUGGUAAGGUAACGGCUUACCAAGGCAACGAUGCGUAGCCGACCUGAGAGGGUGAUCGGCCACACUGGAACUGAGACACGGUCCAGACUCCUACGGGAGGCAGCAGUAGGGAAUCUUCCGCAAUGGGCGAAAGCCUGACGGAGCAACGCCGCGUGAGUGAUGAAGGUCUUCGGAUCGUAAAACUCUGUUAUUAGGGAAGAACAAAUGUGUAAGUAACUAUGCACGUCUUGACGGUACCUAAUCAGAAAGCCACGGCUAACUACGUGCCAG